AUUGAACGCUGGCGGCAGGCUUAACACAUGCAAGUCGAGCGGGGGAAGGUAGCUUGCUACUGGACCUAGCGGCGGACGGGUGAGUAAUGCCUAGGAAUCUGCCUAUUAGUGGGGGACAACAUCUCGAAAGGGAUGCUAAUACCGCAUACGUCCUACGGGAGAAAGCAGGGGAUCUUCGGACCUUACGCUAAUAGAUGAGCCUAAGUCGGAUUAGCUAGUUGGUGGGGUAAAGGCCUACCAAGGCGACGAUCUGUAGCGGGUCUGAGAGGAUGAGCCGCCACACUGGGAAUGAGACACGGCCCAGACUCCUACGGGAGGCAGCAGUGGGGAAUAUUGGACAAGGGGGGGAACCCUGAUCCAGCCAUGCCGCGUGUGUGAAGAAGGCCUUAUGGUUGUAAAGCACUUUAAGCGAGGAGGAGGCUACUUUAGUUAAUACCUAGGGAUAGUGGACGUUACUCGCAGAAUAAGCACCGGCUAACUCUGUGCCAGCAGCCGCCGUAA
rnacentral:rRNA from 1 species